rnacentral:rRNA from 1 species
CCUACGGGAGGCACCAGUGGGGAAUAUUGGACAAUGGGCGGAAGCCUGAUCCAGCCAUGCCGCGUGUGUGAAGAAGGCCUUAUGGUUGUAAAGCACUUUAAGCGAGGAGGAGGCUACUGAGACUAAUACUCUGGGAUAGUGGACGUUACUCGCAGAAUAAGCACCGGCUAACUCUGUGCCAGCAGCCGCGGUAAUACAGAGAGUGCGAGCGUUAAUCGGAUUUACUGGGCGUAAAGCGUGCGUAGGCGGCUUUUUAAGUCGGAUGUGAAAUCCCCGAGCUUAACUUGGGAAUUGCAUUCGAUACUGGGAAGCUAGAGUAUGGGAGAGGAUGGUAGAAUUCCAGGUGUAGCGGUGAAAUGCGUAGAGAUCUGGAGGAAUACCGAUGGCGGAGGCAGCCAUCUGGCCUAAUACUGACGCUGAGGUACGAAAGCAUGGGGAGCAAGCAGGAUUAGAUACCCUAGUAGUC